GUGGGGAAUUUUGGACAAUGGGCGAAAGCCUGAUCCAGCAAUGCCGCGUGCAGGAUGAAGGCCCUCGGGUUGUAAACUGCUUUUGUACGGAACGAAAAGCCUGGGGCUAAUAUCCCCGGGUCAUGACGGUACCGUAAGAAUAAGCACCGGCUAACUACGUGCCAGCAGCCGCGGUAAUACGUAGGGUGCAAGCGUUAAUCGGAAUUACUGGGCGUAAAGCGUGCGCAGGCGGUUUUGUAAGACAGUGGUGAAAUCCCCGGGCUCAACCUGGGAACUGCCAUUGUGACUGCAAGGCUAGAGUGCGGCAGAGGGGGAUGGAAUUCCGCGUGUAGCAGUGAAAUGCGUAGAUAUGCGGAGGAACACCGAUGGCGAAGGCAAUCCCCUGGGCCUGCACUGACGCUCAUGCACGAAAGCGUGGGGAGCAAACAGGAUUAGAUACCCUUGUAGUCC
rnacentral:rRNA from 1 species